GCUGUGAGCAGCUCCGUCACUCUGACAUCUCUCCCUUAGUGUACUCCAGUGUGCCUCACCGUUCUCAAGUUGCUUCGCCUGACUUUCCUGCAUCACCUUGUUUAUUAUUUUUCUGGCCAGCCAGCUCCCUGCCUUCACUGCCUGCUCUUUUUGAACAUUAAACAGGUUUUUUUGUUACAUUGUA